rnacentral:rRNA from 1 species
UACGCCUACGGGGGGCAGCAGUGAGGAAUAUUGGUCAAUGGGCGCGAGCCUGAACCAGCCAAGUCGCGUGAGGGAGGACGGCCCUACGGGUUGUAAACCUCUUUUGCCAGGGGACAAAGGCGGCCACGGGUGGCCGUAAGAGGGUACCUGGAGAAAAAGCAUCGGCUAACUCCGUGCCAGCAGCCGCGGUAAUACGGAGGAUGCGAGCGUUAUCCGGAUUUAUUGGGUUUAAAGGGUGCGCAGGCGGCGGGUCAAGUCAGCGGUAAAAUGUCGGGGCUCAACCCCGGCCGGCCGUUGAAACUGGG